rnacentral:rRNA from 1 species
UUAAGCGACUAAGCGUACACGGUGGAUGCCCUGGCAGUCAGAGGCGAUGAAGGACGUGCUAAUCUGCGAUAAGCGUCGGUGAGGUGAUAUGAACCGUUAUAACCGGCGAUUUCCGAAUGGGGAAACCCAGUGUGAUUCGUCACACUAUCAUUAACUGAAUCCAUAGGUUAAUGAGGCGAACCGGGGGAACUGAAACAUCUAAGUACCCCGAGGAAAAGAAAUCAACCGAGAUUCCCCCAGUAGCGGCGAGCGAACGGGGAGGAGCCCAGAGCCUGAAUCAGUGUGUGUGUUAGUGGAAGCGUCUGGAAAGGCGCGCGAUACAGGGUGACAGCCCCGUACACAAAAAUGCACAUACUGUGAGCUCGAUGAGUAGGGCGGGACACGUGGUAUCCUGUCUGAAUAUGGGGGGACCAUCCUCCAAGGCUAAAUACUCCUGACUGACCGAUAGUGAACCAGUACCGUGAGGGAAAGGCGAAAAGAACCCCGGCGAGGGGAGUGAAAAAGAACCUGAAACCGUGUACGUACAAGCAGUGGGAGCCUCUUAAUGGGGUGACUGCGUACCUUUUGUAUAAUGGGUCAGCGACUUAUAUUCUGUAGCAAGGUUAACCGAAUAGGGGAGCCGAAGGGAAACCGAGUCUUAACUGGGCGUUAAGUUGCAGGGUAUAGACCCGAAACCCGGUGAUCUAGCCAUGGGCAGGUUGAAGGUUGGGUAACACUAACUGGAGGACCGAACCGACUAAUGUUGAAAAAUUAGCGGAUGACUUGUGGCUGGGGGUGAAAGGCCAAUCAAACCGGGAGAUAGCUGGUUCUCCCCGAAAGCUAUUUAGGUAGCGCCUCGUGAAUUCAUCUCCGGGGGUAGAGCACUGUUUCGGCAAGGGGGUCAUCCCGACUUACCAACCCGAUGCAAACUGCGAAUACCGGAGAAUGUUAUCACGGGAGACACACGGCGGGUGCUAACGUCCGUCGUGAAGAGGGAAACAACCCAGACCGCCAGCUAAGGUCCCAAAGUCAUGGUUAAGUGGGAAACGAUGUGGGAAGGCCCAGACAGCCAGGAUGUUGGCUUAGAAGCAGCCAUCAUUUAAAGAAAGCGUAAUAGCUCACUGGUCGAGUCGGCCUGCGCGGAAGAUGUAACGGGGCUAAACCAUGCACCGAAGCUGCGGCAGCGACACUAUGUGUUGUUGGGUAGGGGAGCGUUCUGUAAGCCUGUGAAGGUGGCCUGUGAGGGUUGCUGGAGGUAUCAGAAGUGCGAAUGCUGACAUAAGUAACGAUAAAGCGGGUGAAAAGCCCGCUCGCCGGAAGACCAAGGGUUCCUGUCCAACGUUAAUCGGGGCAGGGUGAGUCGACCCCUAAGGCGAGGCCGAAAGGCGUAGUCGAUGGGAAACAGGUUAAUAUUCCUGUACUUGGUGUUACUGCGAAGGGGGGACGGAGAAGGCUAUGUUGGCCGGGCGACGGUUGUCCCGGUUUAAGCGUGUAGGCUGGUUUUCCAGGCAAAUCCGGAAAACCAAGGCUGAGGCGUGAUGACGAGGCACUACGGUGCUGAAGCGACAAAUGCCCUGCUUCCAGGAAAAGCCUCUAAGCAUCAGGUAACAUCAAAUCGUACCCCAAACCGACACAGGUGGUCAGGUAGAGAAUACCAAGGCGCUUGAGAGAACUCGGGUGAAGGAACUAGGCAAAAUGGUGCCGUAACUUCGGGAGAAGGCACGUUGAUAUGUAGGUGAAGCGACUUGCUCGUGGAGCUGAAAUCAGUCGAAGAUACCAGCUGGCUGCAACUGUUUAUUAAAAACACAGCACUGUGCAAACACGAAAGUGGACGUAUACGGUGUGACGCCUGCCCGGUGCCGGAAGGUUAAUUGAUGGGGUUAGCGGCAACGCGAAGCUCUUGAUCGAAGCCCCGGUAAACGGCGGCCGUAACUAUAACGGUCCUAAGGUAGCGAAAUUCCUUGUCGGGUAAGUUCCGACCUGCACGAAUGGCGUAAUGAUGGCCAGGCUGUCUCCACCCGAGACUCAGUGAAAUUGAACUCGCUGUGAAGAUGCAGUGUACCCGCGGCAAGACGGAAAGACCCCGUGAACCUUUACUAUAGCUUGACACUGAACAUUGAGCCUUGAUGUGUAGGAUAGGUGGGAGGCUUUGAAGUGUGGACGCCAGUCUGCAUGGAGCCGACCUUGAAAUACCACCCUUUAAUGUUUGAUGUUCUAACGUUGGCCCGUAAUCCGGGUUGCGGACAGUGUCUGGUGGGUAGUUUGACUGGGGCGGUCUCCUCCUAAAGAGUAACGGAGGAGCACGAAGGUUGGCUAAUCCUGGUCGGACAUCAGGAGGUUAGUGCAAUGGCAUAAGCCAGCUUGACUGCGAGCGUGACGGCGCGAGCAGGUGCGAAAGCAGGUCAUAGUGAUCCGGUGGUUCUGAAUGGAAGGGCCAUCGCUCAACGGAUAAAAGGUACUCCGGGGAUAACAGGCUGAUACCGCCCAAGAGUUCAUAUCGACGGCGGUGUUUGGCACCUCGAUGUCGGCUCAUCACAUCCUGGGGCUGAAGUAGGUCCCAAGGGUAUGGCUGUUCGCCAUUUAAAGUGGUACGCGAGCUGGGUUUAGAACGUCGUGAGACAGUUCGGUCCCUAUCUGCCGUGGGCGCUGGAGAACUGAGGGGGGCUGCUCCUAGUACGAGAGGACCGGAGUGGACGCAUCACUGGUGUUCGGGUUGUCAUGCCAAUGGCACUGCCCGGUAGCUAAAUGCGGAAGAGAUAAGUGCUGAAAGCAUCUAAGCACGAAACUUGCCCCGAGAUGAGUUCUCCCUGAGACUUAGAGUCUCCUGAAGGAACGUUGAAGACGACGACGUUGAUAGGCCGGGUGUGUAAGCGCAGCGAUGCGUUGAGCUAACCGGUACUAAUGAACCGUGAGGCUUAACCUU